GGGUGCUCGGGGCCCCGACGCGUACCCAGGUGCCAUCUGGCCCUCACCUCCCGCCGUAGCUGGCUGUGACGCCCGCCAUGGGCACACUGGGGCAGUGCAGGGAGAAGACGAGGAUGCCCAGCAGGCUGACAACGGUGCAGAACAGGCAGAACUUGAUGACCGCGGAGCCCCGGAGCCUGAGCUUGUUCACAAAGAAGCCGCCCAGGAAGGUGCCGCCACCACCCGCUGGCACCACCAGGGCAGCCACACCCCUCCUCCCCCAGGGGCCUCUGCCGAGUCCCUGCAGGCUGUGACAAGGACAUUUGUCGAAGCCUGAGUGGCCACCAUCAGUACAAAAUUGGGAUCAGCUGGCAUCUGGCUUCUAGGCUGACAAGUGAGGAGGGCACAGACCUGCCCAGCCUGGGAAGGCCAGCCUGCCUCUGGCACCGAGAAACCCCCAGCUGCACUGUUCCAGGAGGUCCUGAGGCACCAGUGCCUGGCUCAUGGAACAGCCAGGUCCAAACCCUUCCUGCACCAAGUCACAGAAGCCAAGACUAGGUGGCUAAGGGGUGGAGCCCACCGUGGACCCUUCCACCUACGGAGCAUGUCCCACAAAGAGGGCGGGACCACCACUCUUCCGGCCUGUGGACAGUCGCUCAGCUCCCGUGGUGCUCUCCACACCUGCUCUGGCAGCGGGGGUGGGAGGGCACUCACUGCCAUGUGCCCUGUCUGGGUCUUUCUAGAAGAUGCCCUUGAAGACUCUGUUUCUGAGAACUGACAUAAAAGCAGAGGACCCCCAAGAUUCAGAGUUUUCUCACCAAACAAGGUGGCAGCUUCUGAGGCACUCAGGCUGAACUGGGACUCCAAGAACUUGGGGCUGAACGUGGACAUGCCGGUGAUGAGUGUGGCCUCGGUGGCCCCAGCCAGGCAGAGCAGGAUGAACGUGGGGUUCUUCAGCAGGAGCCAGAUGGAGCUGGGCAGAUGUCGCUGACUUGAACCCCUGCGUCUGCAGCUUAGUGACAUCCUGUAAACCUACACUUUCCAGCCUCUCGCCAGAGCAGAGUGUCGGCCUCACAUCACCCCCACCUGCAGGAGGGCGGCUCUUUCCUCUCGGCCACACCUAGAGCCUGGUUCCGAUGAACGCAACUCUGAACGCCUGGAACAUUCAAAUGCUCUUGUUUGAGGUGGCGGCCAAAUGUAAAUGGAUUCUGAAGAAUUAGGAACAGACAGUGCAGCCCUAGUUAGCCUCUGAGCCCCAACAGGCCCAUAGGUGCCUUGCAGAGCUGAUGUUGGCGUCAGAAACUCCACUCCAGCCUCACAGGCACUCUGCCUGCUUGGAGGUGUUCGCUGGUUCGCUCAGACUGACCUCAGCAGCCAUGAACAUGGGUUCUUUCUGUUCCCUUCCCUGAUUAAAAUGGGAGAGCCCAGUUCUUUCAAAA
rnacentral:antisense_RNA from 1 species